UCAGCGUCAGGAACCACGUCUAAUGCCGACGUCCUUUUGACGUAGAAUCCUUACGACAGCUGAUGCUGAUAUUUUGUUGGUUUAUAGUUUAGCCAUGCUGACCCGUAAUAAAGAUAAUAAUAUGAAAAACAUUAAUAACAAUAGCCAUGUAUUGAAAAAUGAUCAUCAAAUUGUAGAUUUGCAUUGGAUGUUCCAAGUCUGAACAAAUCAGAAACCAGUUUCUAAGCAGUAACAGUUAGGCUACAGUUUCCUCCGGAAAGAUACAAGAGUAAGUUUCCUGUUGGACAGAUUUCACCAGCGCACCAUCAGCUGUUUUUCCAGUGUCUGGACUUCAGCACCUGUUGUGGCAGCUUCAGACACCAGCAUGAGCCUGAUGUGGAGCAGGAGUCCUUCUCCUCCCCGCUGCACUGAGGCUCAGGCACAGCACCUGUGUGGCUCUGCGGAGCGGAAAAAAUGUCAGAAUGAAAGUUUGAACAAAGUUUCAAAGAUCUCUUACAGAGUGUCCAGAGGACUACAGAGGAAAAAGAGACAAAGAUUGUGGCGGCUGUUGCCUUCUGCCUGAAGUAUGCCCCAGACCGGGUGGCUGGAGGGGCAGGAAGAAACUUUGAAAAUGUUACAAUAAAAGGUUAUUUUGAUAACCCAUUGCAUGUCUUUGUCAUUUAUCCAGUAAAACUGCCAAACAUUUGUGGAUUUGUCCAGCAUUUGUCUGACAUUGGAUCUUGACAUCUGUCUGACCUUGGUAUUACAUGA